GGUUGAGCAAUUUUUUGCUUUCAAGAGAACUGAAGGCUUCUGGGGUGGGAAGCU
rnacentral:ncRNA from 2 species